rnacentral:rRNA from 1 species
UUUAAGGUCUGACCUGCCCUAUGAGGAUUUAAAUGGCCGCAGUAUUUUGACUGUGCAAAGGUAGCAUAAUAAUUAGUUUUUUAAUUGAAAGCUUGAAUGAAUGGUUGGACGAGAAAAUAGCUGUCUUUAGCUUAUUGGUGUAGAAUUUUAUUUUUAAGUAAGAAAGCUUAAAUUUUUUUAAAAGACGAGAAGACCCUAUAGAAUUUUAUAAAUUUUUAGUUAUUAUUAUUUGAAGGUAUUUAUUUUUUUAUAAUUAAGUAUUUAUUUUGUUGGGGUGAUAUAAAAAUUAAAAUAACUUUUUAUUUUUAAUACAUUAAUAUAUGAGUUGUUGAUCCAUAGUUUAUGAUUAUAAGAUUAAAUUACCUUAGGGAUAACAGCGUAAUUUUUUUUUAGAGUUCUUAUUGUAAGAAGAGUUUGCGACCUCGAUGUUGGAUUAAAAUUAACUUUUGGUGUAGGUGCUAUUAGGUUAGGUCUGUUCGACCUUUAAAAUUUUACA